GUCACUAGGUCAAAUCGAAGAAAAACAUUGUGUAUGCAAUAGAGGAUGUAUUUUUCAAUUGAUCUUCAUGAAAUUUGGUCAGAGUGAUUGCCUUGAUGAAAACUAGGUCGGUUUUGAAUAUGGGUUAUCUGAGGUCAAAAACUAGGUCACUAGGUCAAAUUAAAGAAAAAUCUUGUGUAUGCGAUAGAGACUGUUUUUUUUUUCAGUUGAUAUUUAUGAAAUUUGGUCAGGUUGAUUGCCUUAAUGAAAUCUAGGUCGAAUUUGAAUAUGGGUCAUCUGAGGUCUAAAACUAGGUCACUUGGUCAAAUCAAAGAAAAAACUUCUGUAUGUGAUAGAGGCUGUAUUUUUCAGUUGAUCUUCAUGAAUUUUGGUCAGAAUGAUUGCCUUGAUAAAAUCUAGGUCGAGUUUGAACAUGGGUCAUCUAGGGUCAAAAACUAGGUCAUAUCUAAGAAAAUGCUUGUUUUAUCGCAAGCGACCAACUUUGUGGUCCAAUCUUAAUGAAAAUUGGUCAGAAUAUUUGUUUCCAUAAAAUCACUAGGUCAAACAUGUUUUACACUGUUAUGGAGUGUUUCUUAGGUGAGCGACCUAGGGCCAUCUUGGCCCUCUUGUUAUUUUAACCAAUCAGACGACUUUUUCGAAUGCCAAAGAGUAAGAAAAAUAUGCAGUUAUUUCAGGGCUCGAACCCGGGACCCCUCGCUUACAAAGCAAGUGGCCUACCGACUGAGCUAACCGGUCAUCUUACACAAUACGACAUAAGAAUUGUAAAUAUUAAAAGUCAAGGCUACAGGUAGAUUUGUAAAAUGUUGUAAGCUAGGCUCUGAUUGGCCAGCGAAAGGGUCGUCAGAACGAGGCCAUGAAUAGGUCUUUCUCAGAUCCUAUGUGUAGCGUAAUAGGAUAUGUACUUUAGUCAGAUUGCUAGAGGCCGUACUUUUCAAUGGAUCUUCAUAAAAAUUGGUCAGAAUGUUCACCUUGAUGAUAUCUAGGUCAGAUUCGAAACUGGGUCAUGUGCCAUCAAAAACUAGGUCAGUAGGUCAAAUAAUAGAAAAACCUUGUGACCUCUCUAGAGGCCAUAUUUUUCAUGGGAUCUGUAUGAAAGUUGGUCUGAAUGUUCAUCUUGAUGAUAUCUAGGUCAAGUUCGAAACUGGGUCAACUGCGAUCAAAAACUAGGUCAAUAGGUCUAAAAAUAGAAAAACCUUGUGACCUCUCUAGAGGCUAUACUUUUAAAUGAAUGUUCAUGAAAAUUGGUCAGAAUGUUCAUCUUGAUGAUAUCUAGGUCAAGUUCGAAACUGGAUCAUGUGCCAUCAAAAACUAGGUCAGUAGGUCAAAUAAUAGAAAAACCUUGUGACCUCUCUAGAGGCCAUAUUUUUCAUGGGAUCUGUAUGAAAAAUGGUCUGAAUGUUCAACUUGAUGAUAUCUAGGUCAGAUUAGAAACUGGGUCAACUGCGGUCAAAAACUAGGUCAGUAGGUCUAAAAAUAGAAAAACCUUGUGACCUCUCUAGAGGCCGUACUUUUCAAUGGAUCUUCAUGAAAAUUGGUCAGAAUGUUCGACUUGAUGAUAUCUAGGUCAGAUUCGAAACUGGGUCAUGUGCCAUCAAAAACUAGGUCAGUAGGUCAAAUAAUAGAAAAACCUUGUGACCUCUCUAGAGGCCAUAUUUUUCAAUGGAUCUUCAUGAAAAUUUGUCUGAAUGUUCACCUUGAUGAUAUCUAGAUAAAAUUUGAAACUGGGUCACAUGUGGUCAAAACUAGGUCAGUAGGUAUAAAAAUAGAAAAACCUUGUGACCUCUCUAGAGGUCAUACUUUUCAUGAAAAUUGGUGAGAAUGUUCACCUUGAUAAUAUCUAGGUCAAGUUCAAAACUGGGUCAUGUGCCUUCAAGACUAGGUCAUUAGGUCAAAUAAUAGAAAAACCUUGUGACCUCUCUAGAAGCCAUAUUUUUCAAUGGAUCUUCAUGAAAAUUGGGUCAUGUGGAGAAGUUGAGCGAUUCAGGACCACCAUGGUCCUCUUGUUAUGAUGUAUGGGUGCAUUGGAAUUUCUGUUGCCAUGACACAAAUAACAUUUAUUUGUAAACUGUGGUAGAAUUUGAUUUCCUUUAGAUAUAUGUAUUAAAAUACACUUGUUUCUAGUUUCUGCAUGAACAUAAGAAAGACAAAGAUUUUCCAGUACAUCUCACUAAUGCAGGUUUUCUCAUGGAAGGGUUCAUAUAGUUCUAGCAAAAAAUGAAAGGCAAUAAACAUGUUUAAAUGUCUUGAAUAACUUACAUGUUUUAAGUUUCUUAAGUAUUUAUGUUGUCAGAUUAGAUAAUGAAUUUAAUAAUUUGCACAUAAAAGAAUCACACAUUCCAUGUAUCUUCAUAACAAGCGCAUUAUUUCAUAGUUUUGUGUAGAUGGGGGUUGUGUAAUAGAUAUGUAUAUUGGCUUUACAAUUUAGUUUCUGUGAAAUUUAGUACAACUGGUACCUUUAUAGCCGGUAGCAUGUUUGCUAGGAACUACACUGCUUAAAAUACAUCACACAGUACAAAAGUUUUUUUUUAACCAUUGUGACAUGGUAGUGGUCCAGUUGACGUUUUGACGACUUCAAUGUAAAAUCGCCAAUACUGCAAAUUUAAUAACAUACAGUUGUAUACACUCCAGUUAUGUCUCUUUAAAAUUUGACGUUAGUUGAUCAUGGAAGUCCCAGUUAAAUUAAGUAAGGGAAGUCAUUUGUGGUUUCACAUAAAAUUAGGCAUUAUACAACUGUAAAUGGAAUGUAUCCAAAGAAAUGUAUGAUUAAAAAGUCUAAUAUCUACAUGAUCAGUUAAUUGCAUUUUCUUCGUCUGUAGAUACUGAUAUCUUGUUAAAAAUGAAUUCAGGUAUUCUUUAAAAGAUACACUGUUUUUUAGCUCACCUGUCACAUAGUGACAAGGUGAGCUUUUGUGAUCACCCUUCGUCCGUCAUCUGUCCGUCCGUGCGUCCAUCAACAAUUUCUUGUCUGCACGAUAGUGGUUUCAUUAUGAUUUUAUUUUAACCAAACUUGCACACAACUUGUAUCACCAUAAGAUCUUGAUUCCUUUCUUGAAAGGGCCAAAAUUAGCUACUUUGACCUUGUCUGCACAAUAGCAGCUUCAUUUAUGAUUUGAUUUUUACCAAACUUGGACACAACUUGUAUCACGAUAAGAUCUUGGUUCCUUUCUUGAACUGGCCAGAUUCCAUGAUGGGUUCCGGAGUUAUGGCCCCUGAAAGGGCCAGAAUAAGCUAUUUUGACCUUGUCUGCACAAUAGCAGCUUCAUUUAUGAUUUGAUUUUAACCAAACUUGCACACAACUUGUAUCACCACAAGUUCUUGGCUCCUUUCUUGAACUGGCCAGAUUCCUUUAUGGGUUCGAGAGUUAUGGCCCCUGAAAGGACCAGAAUUAGCUAUUUUGACCUUCUCUGCACAAUAGCAGCUUCAUUUAUGAUUUGAAUUUAAUCAAACUUGCACAAAACUUGUGUCACCAUAAGAUCUUGGUUCCUUUCUUGAACCGGCCAGAUCUCAUAAUGGGUUCCAGAGUUAUGGCCCCUGAAAGGGCCAGAAUUAGCUAUUUUGACCUUGUCUGCACAAUAGCAGUUUCAUUUAUGAUUUGGUUGUAACCAAACUUGCAAACAACUUGUAUCACCACAAGAUCUUGGUUCCUUUCUUGAACUGGCCAGAUUCUUUCAUGGGUUCCAGUGUUACGGCCCCUGAUAGGGCCAGAAUUAGCUAUUUUGACCUUGUCUGCACAACAGCAGCUUCAUUUAUGAUUUGAAUUUAAUCAAACUUGCACAAAACUUGUGUCACCAUAAGAUCUUGGUUCCUUUCUUGAACCGGCCAGAUCCCAUAAUGGGUUCCAGAGUUAUGGCCCCUGAAAGGGCCAGAAUUAGUUAUUUUGACCUUGUCUGCACAAUAGCAGCUUCAUUUAUGAUUUGAUUUUAAUCAAACUUGCACACAACUUGUAUCACCAUAAGAUCUCAAUUCCUUUUUAUACGCCCGAAGGGACGUAUUAUGUUAUCGCCUCGGAGUCCGUCUGUCUGUCUGUUGGUUAGCAAUUUCCCUUCUGCUCUGUAACUCUUGAACCCCUUGAAGAAUUUCGAAGAAAUCUGACACAAAUGUUCACCUCAUCGAAACGACGUGCAGAGCGCAUGUUUCGGAUGGCUCACUUCAAGGUCAAGGUCACACUUAGGGGUCAAAGGUCAUAUGACUUUGUUUUGUGUGUAUAUUGCUCUGCAAUUGCGUUGCAUUGCAGUGCUCUCGUUCUUAUUUGGCAGAUCCUUCUUUUGUUCAUUUACAAUAAUUUCCCUUUUAUGGUACUAUAAAUAGCUUAUUUAGUAACUUCUUUAUUAUUGGCCGUAGGGAAAAAACUAGACCACUUUUCUGUGCUACAACAUGGGUGGUACCUCCAAUUUUUAGGUGUUUUUUGACAUAUCUGUACCUUGUAAGAUUUUUUUUUCUUUUUGGUUAAAUUUCUUCCCUUUGUUGUUUGACCUUUUCGUCCUUAAGUGCAAUGAUAACAGGUGAGCGAUAUAGGGCCAUUAUGGCCCUCUUGUAAUAAGAGUAGUUAUUUAUUAUAUAUUGUAAAUGAAAAAAAUAAUACUAAUUAAAUUGCUUAAAAUAAAUAUUGUAAACAAAGUUGUCGUUAACGUUGCUGGCUUGGGCCUAGAUAGUUACUCCUUACUUAUACAAUCUACCACAAAGCAAAUAUACUGCAAGGUAGCAUGAUUAGUUUUGGCUCAUUUGUAUUUGCAAGACGUUUUUUGAUGGCUAAUUUUAAAGUAGCGACUCUCGUAUAAUUAGGAAAACAAAUAUUUUUCUAGAAGCAAAAGACUUUGGCCAGUUAUAUUUCAAGUAUUUUUAAUUGAAUUGCUCAUGUAUAUGAUAUUGUAUUUUAAAGGUGAUGAACAUGUUUCUUGUUGUAAAAUGCAAUAAAACUAAAAAGAAUA